ensembl:snoRNA SNORD53B small nucleolar RNA, C/D box 53B
UUGCUGUGAUGAUUUCAGUCUGGUUUCGCUUUUUGCUGAGAUCCAGUGAUGCUUUUCUCUUGGCUGUCUGAGCAC